GUAGGGAAUCUUCGGCAAUGGACGGAAGUCUGACCGAGCAACGCCGCGUGAGUGAAGAAGGUUUUCGGAUCGUAAAGCUCUGUUGUAAGAGAAGAACGAGUGUGAGAGUGGAAAGUUCACACUGUGACGGUAUCUUACCAGAAAGGGACGGCUAACUACGUGCCAGCAGCCGCGGUAAUACGUAGGUCCCGAGCGUUGUCCGGAUUUAUUGGGCGUAAAGCGAGCGCAGGCGGUUAGAUAAGUCUGAAGUUAAAGGCUGUGGCUUAACCAUAGUAGGCUUUGGAAACUGUUUAACUUGAGUGCAAGAGGGGAGAGUGGAAUUCCAUGUGUAGCGGUGAAAUGCGUAGAUAUAUGGAGGAACACCGGUGGCGAAAGCGGCUCUCUGGCUUGUAACUGACGCUGAGGCUCGAAAGCGUGGGGAGCAAACAGGAUUAGAUACCCUGGUAGUCCACGCUGUAAACGAUGAGUGCUAGGUGUUAGACCCUUUCCGGGGUUUAGUGCCGUAGCUAACGCAUUAAGCACUCCGCCUGGGGAGUACGACCGCAAGGUUG
rnacentral:rRNA from 1 species